rnacentral:tRNA from 3 species
ACUAAAAUAGCAAAGUAGUAUUGCAUAAGGCCUAAGCCCUUCUGUCAUAGGUGCAAUUCCUAUUUUUAGUG